AUGAAGAAGAAAAAGAAAAGAAGGAACAACAAAGGUAGAAAGGUAUCCCUCCCAAAUGAUUUUGCUCCUACUACUCAUUGUGAUGAUGAUAAUUGCUAUACUAUUGGUGCUAUCAAUAUUUUUAAUGAUGAGAGUGAUUAUGCUUAUGAUAUGAAAGGGCCCAAGCUUGGGGAAGCUAUGUUUGAUGAGGAUGAAAUAUUUGAGAAUAUAUUUGCUGGAAUUAAUGUUUGUCCCAAGCUUGGGGAUGCUAUGUUUAAUGAAGAUGAUAUUUUUAGCGUCCCAAGUUUUGAUAUGCAAAGUUGUUAUGAUGAAAGCAUGCCUCCUACUUAUGAUGAUUAUAUUGAUGAAAGUGGGUUUGGAAGAGUGUCAACCUUAGGAAUUAGUUAUCCCACUAUUUUGGAGGAUAUUGAAUCUUAUUGUGAUGAAUAUGAAAGUGGAUUUGGAAGAGUGUCAACUUUAUUUAGUGAUUCCACUAUCUUGGGAGAGGUUUCAAUAUAUUAUGAUGAGAACGAAGUUGCUACUUAUGAUGAUUAUUGUGACGAAACUUAUGAUAUAAAAAGUAGUGAUGAUUAUAUUUACAAAUCUUGUCAUGAUUAUGAUUACCCUUUUUCUGAACAUUACUCUUUUAAUGUGGAAACAAUUUUUAGUGUUCAAGUCUCUUAUGAUACUCCCACUAUUCCGAAUGAGAAGAAUUUUGCUUAUGUGGAGAGUAGUAAAUUUUCUAUGAUUGUAGAUCAUGAAAAGAAUGCUUUAGGUGCUGGUUAUAUUGUUGAAUUCAUUCAUGAUGCUACUGAAAAUUACUUUUAG
rnacentral:rRNA from 1 species